GUGGCCAUGGUGUAGUGGUAACACAGGAGUCUGUGGCACUCUUAUCGAGGGUUCAAUUCCCUCUGGCCACCCCA
rnacentral:tRNA from 1 species